ACGGGGGGAGCAAGCGUUGUUCGGAUUUACUGGGCGUAAAGGGCGCGUAGGCGGCCUCCGCAAGUCAGUUGUGAAAUCUCCGAGCUUAACUCGGAAAGGUCAACUGAUACUGCGGGGCUAGAGUGCGGAAGGGGCAACUGGAAUUCUUGGUGUAGCGGUGAAAUGCGUAGAUAUCAAGAGGAACACCUGCGGCGAAGGCAGCCCCCUGGGUCAAAACUGACGCUCAUGCACGAAAGCGUGGGGAGCAAACAGGA
rnacentral:rRNA from 1 species